GCACUCGUAGCUCAGCUGGAUAGAGCNNCAGCUUGCGGAGCUGAGGGUCGCAGGUUCAAAUCCUGCCGAGUGCACCA
rnacentral:tRNA from 1 species